rnacentral:misc_RNA from 1 species
AACGCACAUAGCGCCCGCCGGCCAUUCCGGCGGGCAUGCCUGUCCGAGCGUCGAUGACGCCUUUCGAGCCCCUCUGAUGGGCUCGGUGUUGGGGCGCUAGGGGGCGGUUUCUCGCGAAGCCCCCCCUAGGCCCCCAAGCAAAAGUGCGCGGUCCGGCUGCGGGCCCCGGGUACAGUAACUUCACCGUUAGAUGCCCUGGGAGAAGCAGCUGGGCCUGCCGUAAAACCCCCGACAUAGGGACCCCCGUGCCACGCGCAAGCGGGCGAGGGCGGGACCGCCAUAUGUUGACCUCGGAUCAGGUAGGACUACCCGCUGAACUUAA